GGGAAUGUAGCUCAGUGGUAGAGCACUUACCUGGCAUGUGUAAGGCCCUGGGUUAAAACCCCAGCAUGGCCA
rnacentral:tRNA from 1 species